rnacentral:rRNA from 1 species
GUGAACGCUGGCGGUAGGCCUAACCCAUGCACGUCGAACGGCAGCACCGUAAGAGCUUGCUCUUACGGGUGGCGAGAGGCGGACGGGUGAGGAAUACAUCGGAAUCUACUUUUUCGUGGGGGAUAACGUAGGGAAACUUACGCUAAUACCGCAUACGACCUACGGGUGAAAGCAGGGGAUCUUCGGACCUUGCGCGAUUGAAUGAGCCGAUGUCGGAUUAGCUAGUUGGCGGGGUAAAGGCCCACCAAGGCGACGAUCCGUAGCUGGUCUGAGAGGAUGAUCAGCCACACUGGAACUGAGACACGGUCCAGACUCCUACGGGAGGCAGCAGUGGGGAAUAUUGGACAAUGGGCGCAAGCCUGAUCCAGCCAUACCGCGUGGGUGAAGAAGGCCUUCGGGUUGUAAAGCCCUUUUGUUGGGAAAGAAAAGCAGCAGGUUAAUACCCCGCUGUUCUGACGGUACCCAAAGAAUAAGCACCGGCUAACUUCGUG